rnacentral:rRNA from 1 species
GAACGCUAGCGGCAGGCUUAAUACAUGCAAGUCAAACGGGCCAUAGCAAUAUGGUCAGUGGCGGACGGGUGAGUAACGCGUACACAACGUACCUUAUAGGAGGGGAUAGCAUUUAGGGAAACGGGUGGUAACUACCCCAUAGUAUCGAGAUGAGGCAUCUUAUUUUGAUUAAAGUUGAGGCGCUAUAAGAUCGGUGUGCGUCUGAUUAGGUAGUUGGUAGGGUAACGGCCUACCAAGCCGACGAUCAGUAGGGGGCGUGAGAGCGUGGACCCCCACACGGGUACUGAGACACGGACCCGACUCCUACGGGAGGCAGCAGUAAGGAAUAUUGGUCAAUGCUCGGAAGAGUGAACCAGCCAUGCCGCGUGCAGGAUGACUGCCCUUUGGGUUGUAAACUGCUUUUGUCAGGGAAGAAAACGCUGGAUUUAUCCGGUCUUGACGGUACCUGAAGAAUAAGCACCGGCUAACUCCGUG